rnacentral:rRNA from 1 species
UACGUAGGGUGCAAGCGUUAAUCGGAAUUACUGGGCGUAAAGCGUGCGCAGGCGGUGAUGUAAGACAGAUGUGAAAUCCCCGGGCUCAACCUGGGAACUGCAUUUGUGACUGCAUCGCUGGAGUACGGCAGAGGGGGAUGGAAUUCCGCGUGUAGCAGUGAAAUGCGUAGAUAUGCGGAGGAACACCGAUGGCGAAGGCAAUCCCCUGGGCCUGUACUGACGCCCCAUGCACGAAAGCGUGGGGAGCAAACAGG